AAGUCGUAACAAGGUCUCCGUAGGUGAACCUGCGGAAGGAUCAUUGACAAAUCUAAACAACUUGUUGCUUGGAGCUCGUCUCCAAGUAUACAACAUUCUAACCUGUGAAUCGGCAGUACGCAAGUGCUGUUUUAUGGCGGCUGUAAGCGGUAGCGCAAGCUCUGUUUCUGCGCCUUAAACAUUUACGUAUCCAAUUGUCUUAACAAAACAAAAACAAAAUACAACUUUUAGCAAUGGAUCUCUUGGCUUCU
rnacentral:misc_RNA from 1 species